ensembl:lncRNA
GGUAAGCCACAGGUGCCUGUUAAGGACGACCAUGAACCCCAUGGAACGGCCGAUGGCUUGAGCAGAGCGCUUAGUAGCCAUCAGCGCGAGAUCAGUUGCCGCGCGCAGAUCCCUGAUGACGUCAGCGCCGACUGCGCCGCCGUCGAGGGAUUGAAGCAGUUUCGCCUGGAACACCUGCAGUAUAGCCAUAGCGUGAAGAGCAGAAACUGCCUCCCCUGCAGCAGCAUAGGCUUUGUCCGCCUGGUGGGCCGUGAAUCUGCACGGCUUGGAAGGCAGGCUGCGGUCCGAACCCAACGCAGAGGAAGACGGGCACAGGUGCGCGGCAACAGUCUCCUCGACGGGGGGCAUGCGCACAUACCCGUGGGCUUCCGCCCCGUCCACGUGUGCAAACAUAGCCUGCGUGGCAGAGUGGGUGCGCGCCGAUUGGGGUGCAGCCCACGACUUCACCACGUGCUCGUGCACGUCUGGGAAGAACGGGGUUCUUCUCCUCGGUGCGAACUCGACCUCGGGCGGGGGAGGGCCCACCAGCGGCUCGCUGGUGGCAGUGGGCCUCAUCCCUGCUGUUGCCCGAGCCACUUCUCUCCUGGCUCUGAGGGCGCGCACUGGCAGCUCGGCGCAGUGGGCGCACGUGUCGUCCGUGAGUGCCGCCUCCGCGUGGGCGAGGCCCAGGCAGGUGACACAGAACUGGUGAAGGUCGGGCGGGUCAAUGGGACCCGCGCAAAUCUGGCAUGUAGCAGCCAUCGGAUGCGGAGAGGAAAAAACAGGGGUGAGUAGUCCUCUAAUGCAACUUCUACGAUGAUUUAGAAAAGACUUCUAGCGUGAAGAAAGAGAUUCUGACGUAAUUUUCGCGCCCAUGCAUUUUAUACUGCCCGUGACGUGUCAGUAUUUGCAUGCUUCGCGUCAAUUGGCCAGCUGUCCCCAGCUGGCGUUAGCCCAUAAGAUGCGAAAGUGGAGAAGGGAGGAGUUCCCAUAUACGUCUUAGCUGACGUAAUGUUGAGUUACCGCCUUGAUAGGGAACUAAAAUAACAACUUUAUUCAACAAUUUGUCUCCUCUGUGUCUCUCCGCAUCACCGUUGCGCCAUUUUGGAGAAUAUCCGCAUACUGCGUACA